UGCAAGGUCAUCAAAGGGAAUUACUGAAUGUCAACGUAAAUAUGCAUUAGAAAUUCUUGAGGACACAUGUUAUUUAGGAGCAAAGCUUGCAAAAUGCCCUAUGUUGCAAAAUCUAAAGCUAACUAAAGAUCAAGGUGAGUUGAUUGAUGAUCUAGGAAUGUAUAGAAGAUUAAUUGGAAGAUUAAAGGAUUUAGGAGUUUUGAAAUAUUUUUUAGGACUUGAAGUUGCAAGGUCGUCAAAGGGAAUUGUUGUAUGUCAACGUAAAUAUGCAUUAGAAAUUCUUGAGGACACAGGUUAUUUAGGAGCGAAGCCUGCAAAAUGCCCUAUUUUGCAAAAUCUAAAGCUAACUAAAGAUCAAGGUGAGUUGAUUGAUGAUCCAGGAAUGUAUAGAAGAUUAAUUGGAAGGCUAUUGUACUUAACCAUCACAAGACCAGAUUUUUCAUUUUCAGUCCAGGUUCUGAGUCAAUACCUUGAAUCCCCUAGGAGGCCCCAUCUGGAAGCAGCACAUCAUGUAUUCAGAUAUGUGAAAGGAACACCAAGACAGGGGUUACUUUUUGCUGUAGAUUCCAAUCUUGAACUUAAGGCAUUUUGUGAUGCAAAUUGGGCAUCAUGUGCGGACACUAGAAGGUCAGUCACAGGCUUUUGCGAGUUUCUUGGGAAUUCCGUAAUAUCAUGGCGAUCAAAGAAGCAGCAUACCAUCUCAAGAUCAUCAGCUGAGGCAGAGUACAGGGCUAUGGCUGCAACAGUCUAUGAAAUAAUUUGGCUUAAGAAUGUGUUGGCAGACCUAGGAAUUGAUCACACUAAGGCUGCUCUACUGUUCUGUGAUAAUCAGGCAGCAAUACACAUAGCUAGUAACCCGAUUUUCCAUGAAAGGACGAAGCACAUAGAGUUGGAUUGCCAUCUGGUAAGAGAAAAGGUGCAAGCUGGCGACAUAAAGAUCAUGUAUUUGUCCACUCAAAUUCAAAUAGCAUAUUUGUUGACAAAGACGUUAGAGGGAGCUAGAUUUCAGUUGCUAUUAUCCAAGAUGGGUGUUUUGAAUAUUCAUCAACCAUCUUGAGGGGGGUCUUACGGGGUAUGCAAGGUUAUUUAUGUAAUUUGCCAAUUCAGCUAGAUAGUUAGGCUGAGCUGUCAAUUCUACAGCUGAUUACUAUUGUACAGAAUAAGUGCAUGUAUAUAUACAUUUGUACUGCUUCCUUUUGGCAUAUAUGAAAUACUCCAGUUUCUCUCUCUA
rnacentral:lncRNA from 1 species